GAGCCUGUAUUUCAAUGGUAGAAUAACGGUUUUUCCGUAGAUAAGAGUUCGAUUCUCUUCAGGCUUUCUA
rnacentral:tRNA from 1 species